rnacentral:rRNA from 1 species
UGCGUAACGCGUAUGCAACCUACCUUUAACAGAGAGAUAGCCCUGAGAAAUUGGGAUUAAUAUCACAUAAUAUCAUAAUACAACCUUGUAUAAUGAUUAAAGCUCCGGCGGUUAAAGAUGGGCAUGCGUGACAUUAGCUAGUUGGUAAGGUAACGGCUUACCAAGGCGAUGAUGUCUAGGGGUUCUGAGAGGAUUAUCCCCCACACUGGUACUGAGACACGGACCAGACUCC